rnacentral:lncRNA from 1 species
GAGUGUUUUAGUUGUAGCCAGUCGUUUCAGAUAUUGGUGUAGCACAGUGUUUAUCCAUUCCGUGGUGUGAGUCCAGUCGUUCUACUGGCUUUCAGAAAAUUUUCCACUAUAUUUCCAAGAGAAGAACUGAAAGUGAACAUGGCACUAGUUGAAUUCCCCUCAUUACACUGAUAACGUUAAAAUCUGUCGAAAAUGUGACUGCCAUGAACACCACAGCCAUGGUCGACAUCUCUCGACGCAUCCGGCUGUGGUCGACAUCUCUCGACGCAUCCGGGUCGAUGACUCAACAACUCCACAUCUACAUGCAUCCAGUCAAGAUAAGCUGGAAGUCAAAUCUAAUGACCACGGGAUGUAGAUGUACUCCCUCCGUUCUAAAUUGGAGUCAUUUCAUAUAUUUUGCUAAAUUUUGCUAAGUACCUAAAUAAUUAGGUGUUGGUACUUAUAUCUAGAUACAUAAAUAAAAGUUAUGAAUCUAAAAGUAUUAAAAUGAUCUAUAAUUUGAAAUGGAGGAAGUACCGGUAAUAUUUGUGUGGCCACUUCACUACCAUUAGCGGACGAAGGACCCUGGAACCAUCCGAGAGCAAGGAGGGGACAGGGACACGGGUGAUAACUGGUAAGCCCUCCGUCACCUGCCGCCCCACCCCAUCCGGGCAUCCGGCCUGGGCACAGGUGCCCUCCCCGUCCCUUUCCCCCGCCGCUACGCCGCGGCCGCCGUGGCGCGUCUCCAGCAGGCGGCUUCACGAAGUCGCCCAAGCCUCGCCAAGCUGCCGGCCCGCC